AUGGCUGUCGUCAGCUCGUGUCGUGAGAUGUUGGGUUAAGUCCCGCAACGAGCGCAACCCUUGUCUUAUGUUGCCAGCACGUAAUGGUGGGGACUCGUAAGAGACUGCCGGGGUCAACUCGGAGGAAGGUGGGGACGACGUCAAGUCAUCAUGCCCCUUAUGUCCAGGGCUUCACACAUGCUACAAUGGCCGGUACAGAGGGCUGCGAUACCGUGAGGUGGAGCGAAUCCCUUAAAGCCGGUCUCAGUUCGGAUCGGGGUCUGCAACUCGACCCCGUGAAGUCGGAGUCGCUAGUAAUCGCAGAUCAGCAACGC
rnacentral:rRNA from 1 species